AUGAAUAGGCAUUAAUCAGUAUGAAUCCACAGUUGCCCCGUGAUUAAUCUGAUUUAAAGUUGUAAUAGCUUGACAGUCGUUUCUGUUCUUACAUGGCAGGGAUAACUGGAGCCUAGACGGUGAGCAGUAGGCCCUCUCUAAAAAUAAUUAUGACGAUCAUUCCCAUUAAUGUAAGGAAUAACUGUUUUCUUUCUGCACCAUUUGUUCUUUUUAAGGCUUGAGAAACUAUUAAAAUGUGACAGUAAGACAAACAGAGCGGGGCUCAAAGUGCAGCACAGCUGAGAGUGAUUCAGCCCCUGAUGGAGUUUCCAGCGAAGUUCUUCUCAGUUUUCUGCUGCCUUGCCAACAAGCAACAACAGCGCCUGUCUUAUUUCCUGGAUGCUACCUGGGGGCAACCAGAGUCAGACCCUGGGGGAGCACUUUGGGAGAGGAGGCGAGACAGCAGCCAGGAGAGAAAACAGCUCCAGAGCUCCAUAUAAGGGCUGGAGUUGGGCUCCAGCACCAGCUUCUCAUCACUUUCGACUCCGCUGGGCCAUUACACGAGCAGGGGAACAUACGCAGGAACCCUGAGCUCCAACACUUGGACACACACACAUCCAGGCGAUUUUCUUUGACUUUUCGUUACCAACCUCAACACGGGAUAUCAAGAGAAGAAGAAUGUGGGGAAAACAGGAGGAAUAUACACCAGAAGUCAUCAAAUGUACGGUCAUAUUUCAGCCAAAGUGGAGGAGAGGCUGACCUCAGUCAUCCCUUGAACCACACCCUAUGAGCGAUUAGAAGACAACUCCUGAGAAGACUCCAGUCGUGACUUCAUGGUGAGGCACUGAUGAUACCACUCAGCGGCACUUGUCCACAUGUAAGACUGACACCUCGUAUUUGUUUGUUUCUAUGUAUUAUUAUGAGACACUCUCUAAAAUAGCAGCAGCAGGAUGUCUGGCGUAACACAAUAGCAGGGCCUAUUGUUGCAUUGUGCGACCUGUCGAGCCUCUA